rnacentral:rRNA from 1 species
CGGGAUGCCGGGCGUCCUUAUACAUGCAAGUCGAGCGGACAGAAGGGAGCUUGCUCCCGGAUGUUAGCGGCGGACGGGUGAGUAACACGUGGGUAACCUGCCUGUAAGACUGGGAUAACUCCGGGAAACCGGAGCUAAUACCGGAUAGUUCCUUGAACCGCAUGGUUCAAGGAUGAAAGACGGUUUCGGCUGUCACUUACAGAUGGACCCGCGGCGCAUUAGCUAGUUGGUGGGGUAAUGGCUCACCAAGGCGACGAUGCGUAGCCGACCUGAGAGGGUGAUCGGCCACACUGGGACUGAGACACGGCCCAGACUCCUACGGGAGGCAGCAGUAGGGAAUCUUCCGCAAUGGACGAAAGUCUGACGGAGCAACGCCGCGUGAGUGAUGAAGGUUUUCGGAUCGUAAAGCUCUGUUGUUAGGGAAGAACAAGUGCGAGAGUAACUGCUCGCACCUUGACGGUACCUAACCAGAAAGCCACGGCUAACUACGUGCCAGCAGCCGCGGUAAUACGUAGGUGGCAAGCGUUGUCCGGAAUUAUUGGGCGUAAAGGGCUCGCAGGCGGUUUCUUAAGUCUGAUGUGAAAGCCCCCGGCUCAACCGGGGAGGGUCAUUGGAAACUGGGAAACUUGAGUGCAGAAGAGGAGAGUGGAAUUCCACGUGUAGCGGUGAAAUGCGUAGAGAUGUGGAGGAACACCAGUGGCGAAGGCGACUCUCUGGUCUGUAACUGACGCUGAGGAGCGAAAGCGUGGGGAGCGAACAGGAUUAGAUACCCUGGUAGUCCACGCCGUAAACGGAUGAGUGCUAAGUGUUAGGGGGUUUCCGCCCCUUAGUGCUGCAGCUAACGCAUAAGCACUCCGCCUGGGGAGUACGGGUCGCAAGACUGAAACUCAAGGAAUUGACGGGGGCCCGCACAAGCGGUGGAAGCAUGUGGUUUAAUUCGAAGCACGCCGAAAGAACCUUACCAGUCUUGACCAUCCUCCUGACAACC